rnacentral:rRNA from 1 species
UACGUAGGGUGCGAGCGUUAAUCGGAAUUACUGGGCGUAAAGCGUGCGCGGGCGGUUUUGUAAGCCAGAUGUGAAAUCCCCGGGCUUAACCUGGGAAUGGCAUUUGGGACUGCAAGGCUUGAGUGCGGCAGAGGAGACUGGAAUUCCUGGUGUAGCAGUGAAAUGCGUAGAUAUCAGGAGGAAUACCGAUGGCGAAGGCAGGUCUCUGGGCUGACACUGACGCUCAUGCACGAAAGCGUGGGGAGCAAACAGG